rnacentral:sRNA from 1 species
UCAAUGUGCCCAUGACCCUUUCGACCUGU